rnacentral:rRNA from 1 species
GACGAACGCUGGCGGCGUGCUUAACACAUGCAAGUCGUACGGUAAGGCCCUUUCGGGGGUCCACGAGUGGCGAACGGGUGAGUAACACGUGAGUAACCUGCCCACAACUUUGGGAUAACGCUAGGAAACUGGUGCUAAUACUGGAUAUGUGCCCCUGCUGCAUGGUGGGGGUUGGAAAGCUCCGGCGGUUGUGGAUGGACUCGCGGCCUAUCAGCUUGUUGGUGGGGUAGUGGCCUACCAAGGCGGCGACGGGUAGCCGGCCUGAGAGGGUGACCGGCCACAUUGGGACUGAGAUACGGCCCAGACUCCGACGGGAGGCAGCAGUGGGGAAUAUUGCACAAUGGGCGCAAGCCUGAUGCAGCAACGCCGCGUGCGGGAUGACGGCCUUCGGGUUGUAAACCGCUUUCAGCAGGGACGAAGCUUUUUGUGACGGUACCUGCAGAAGAAGCACCGGCUAACUACGUG